rnacentral:piRNA from 1 species
UUAAACUUGUGUCCAUACAGAUAAGGUC